UUUAAAUUUAAAGUGUGUUUGAGUGCAUAUGCUGUAGGAAGAGGAAGACUAUUAAAUAAACGUUCGUUGCGCAUCUCGUGGUGCUUUAAAGCAGUCUCCUGCUUUCUUGUGACCUUUAGUCAUUUUGACUGUUCUUUUAGUUGUAUUUUAUUUUACAUUUUAAAGCUGUAGGAAUGAAAAAAAAAUCCACAAAAAUUUACGUUUUUUUUUCGAUGAAACAACCGUUCACUAGCUUUUCAUUUUAUUGACAUCAAAUCACCUGUCAUGAGUCCUGGACAUCCUCUCACAACUUUCACAGCUCGAUUGGGCUUUUUUUUUUCUUUUUACAUUUUUCCUCACCUUGGUCAAACCAGCACCAGCCAUGCCUCCAACCAUCUGAGCCACGAUGUAAGGCACGAGCAGGGG